UACGUAGGGACCAAGCGUUGUUCGGAUUUACUGGGCGUAAAGGGCGCGUAGGCGGCGUGGUAAGUCACUUGUGAAAUCUCUGAGCUUAACUCAGAACGGCCAAGUGAUACUGCUGUGCUAGAGUGCAGAAGGGGCAAUCGGAAUUCUUGGUGUAGCGGUGAGAUGCGUAGAUAUCAAGAGGAACACCUGAGGUGAAGACGGGUUGCUGGGCUGACACUGACGCUGAGGCGCGAAAGCUAGGGGAGCAAACGGG
rnacentral:rRNA from 1 species